rnacentral:rRNA from 1 species
UACGUAGGGGUCGAGCGUUGUCCGGACUUACUGGGCGUAAAGGGUGGGUAGGUGGUUGGGGAUGUGCCGUGUGAAAGCCCCGCGUUCAUCGGGGGGAGGUCGCGGUAGACACUCGAACUGGAGGCAUGGAGAGGGCGGUGGAAUUCCCGGUGUAGUGGUGAAAUGCGUAGAUAUCGGGAGGAACACCAGUGGCGCAAGCGGCCGCCUGGCCAUGACCUGACACUGAGCCACGACGGCGUGGGGAGCAAACGGG